GGGAAAAGCAGGCCUUAAAAGAGGGCUACAGGAUACUGGGGUGCUCCCAAUGAUCACAGAACGGCCAGAACUGGCUAGAGUUCUGUUCCCACAAGGUGUCUCAUCUCUGAUGGAUCCUAAGAUGAUUUUGAAAAGAGAGGUUUGACCAGAUGAGGCGGAGGUUGACGAAGAUGAAAUGGAAGACUGCCGUGUCGCAGCCUACCUCAGACAAUACGUUGCCGUGCCUACCUCAGACAAUACGUUUUUCUUUAGAGACAUUGAAAGACCUGGUGGUCUUCUGGACGGGAUAGUCUGUUGGCAGGGGCAAUGCCGACUGUACUUUGAAACUCCCCCUAGGGACAAGAAUGUAUGACACCUUCAAAGAAGCUAUGAAUGCAGCGCUGAAAUAAAGCAAUUAUGGUUUUGGCUUGAUCUAGUGUUGUUUUCUGCAAGUUCAAUGCAGUAUAGUCAACAAUUUCAGUGUUGACAGACGGUGACCAGAGUUCCAGUUGUUCAAUGAAUAAACUAUGCAAUGAGAAA